rnacentral:rRNA from 1 species
GGGUCAGCAUGUCGGUCGUGCCACUGGUACGUACUGGCGUUGCUGAUUCCUCCCUCUUGACGAACCGUAAUGCCAUUAAUUUGGUGUUGCGGGGAAUCAGGACUGUUACUUUGAAAAAAUUAGAGUGUUUAAAGCAGGCAUGCGCUUGAAUACAUUAGCAUGGAAUAAUGAAAUAGGACGUUCGAUCCUAUUUUGUUGGUUUCUAGGAUUGACGUAAUGAUUAAUAGGGAUAGUUGGG